GGAUAGUCGGCGGUGGGCAGGCCCCUCGCCAACCCGGUCAGGUCCGGAAGGAAGCAGCCGCAACGAGAUUCCGGUCUGGGUCAUUGUCCGGCUAUCCACC
rnacentral:SRP_RNA from 1 species